AUUGAACGCUGGCGGCAGGCCUAACACAUGCCAGUCGAGCGGAUGAAGGGAGCUUGCUCCUGGAUUCAGCGGCGGACGGGUGAGUAAUGCCUAGGAAUCUGCCUGGUAGUGGGGGAUAACGUCCGGAAACGGGCGCUAAUACCGCAUACGUCCUGAGGGAGAAAGUGGGGGAUCUUCGGACCUCACGCUAUCAGAUGAGCCUAGGUCGGAUUAGCUAGUUGGUGGGGUAAAGGCCUACCAAGGCGACGAUCCGUAACUGGUCUGAGAGGAUGAUCAGUCACACGGGAACUGAGACACGGUCCAGACUCCUACGGGAGGCAGCAGUGGGGAAUAUUGGACAAUGGGCGAAAGCCUGAUCCAGCCAUGCCGCGUGUGUGAAGAAGGUCUUCGGAUUGUAAAGCACUUUAAGUUGGGAGGAAGGGCAGUAAGUUGAUACCUUGCUGUUUUGACGUUACCAACAGAAUAAGCACCGGCUAACUUCGUG
rnacentral:rRNA from 1 species